rnacentral:rRNA from 1 species
GAUGAACGCUGGCGGCGUGCCUAAUACAUGCAAGUCGAGCGAAGACGGGACGGGCGAGUAACACGUGGACACCCACUUAUAAGCCUGGGAUAACUUCGGGACACCGGAGCUAAAACGGAUACUCAUCGCUGGAUCCUCGAGGCAUUAUCUAGUUGGUAAGGUAACGGCUUAUCAAGGCAACGAUGCAUAGCCGACCUGCGAGGGUGAUCGGCCACACUGGAACUGGGAAACGGUCCAGACUCCUACGGAAGGCAGCAGUAGGGAAUCUUCCGCAAGGGGCGAAAGCCUGACGGAGCAACGCCGCGUGAGUGAGAAAGGUCUUCGGAUCGUAAAACUCUUUUAUUAGGGAAGCGGUACCUAAUCAGAAAGCCACGGCUAACUACGUGCCAGCAGCCGCGGUAAUUC